GCGGUACUUCGACCGUGCAAAGGUAGCAUAAUCAUUUGCCUUAUAAUUGAAGGCUAGUAUGAAUGGUUUGACGAGAAUUAAGCUGUCUCUUUUUAACUAAAUAUAACUUUAUUAAGAGGUGAAGAAGCCUGUAUUUUAUUGAAAGACAAGAAGACCCUAUCGAGCUUUAAAGAAUUUAGUAGAUUUACCAUAUAUUAAUAAAAAAGUAAAGCAACUAAAUAUUUUGGUUGGGGCGACUGAGGAACAAACAAAGCUUCCUUUAUGCUAAUUAAAACUUACAAGUAUUGAUCCAAUUCAUUUGAUUAAAGAAAUUAGUUACCGUAGGGAUAACAGCAUAAUCUCCUUUGAGAGUUCUCAUCGAAAAGGGGGUUUGUGACCUCGAUGUUGGACCAGAAUACCCAGAAGAUGCAGCCGUCUUCAAUGGUUGGUCUGUUCGACCAUUAAAAUUCU
rnacentral:rRNA from 1 species